UCAAGAAACUUCCGCAAUGGGCGAAAGCCUGAUGGAGCGACGUCGCGUGAUGGACGAAGUGCUUCGGCACGUAAACAUCUUUUAUGUGGGAUGAAAUUAUUGACAGUACCACAUGAAUAAGGGGCUCCUAACUCUGUGCCAGCAGGAGCGGUAAUACAGAGGCCCCAAGCGUUAUCCGGAAUCACUGGGCGUAAAGGGUGUCGAGGCGGUUGUAUUAGUCGUUCGUAAAAUCUACGAGCUUAACUUGUAGGCGGCGAACGAAACGGUACGACUUGAGGUUUGGAGAGGUGCGUGGAACUCACGGUGUAGGGGUGAAAUCCGUUGAUAUCGUGGGGAACACCAAAGGCGAAGGCAGCGCACUGGCCAAAAUCUGACGCUCACACACGAAAGCUAGGGUAGCGAAGAGGAUUAGAUACCCCCGUAGUCCCUGAGCGGGCUGGCAAGGCGCAU
rnacentral:rRNA from 1 species